rnacentral:rRNA from 1 species
GUGGGGAAUAUUGGACAAUGGGCGAAAGCCUGAUCCAGCAAUGCCGCGUGAGUGAUGAAGGCCUUAGGGUUGUAAAGCUCUUUUACCAGGGAUGAUAAUGACAGUACCUGGAGAAUAAGCUCCGGCUAACUCCGUGCCAGCAGCCGCGGUAAUACGGAGGGAGCUAGCGUUGUUCGGAAUUACUGGGCGUAAAGCGCGCGUAGGCGGUUACUCAAGUCAGAGGUGAAAGCCCGGGGCUCAACCCCGGAACCGCCUUUGAAACUAGGUGACUAGAAUAUUGGAGAGGUCAGUGGAAUUCCGAGUGUAGAGGUGAAAUUCGUAGAUAUUCGGAAGAACACCAGUGGCGAAGGCGACUGACUGGACAAGUAUUGACGCUGAGGUGCGAAAGCGUGGGGAGCAAACAGGAUUAGAUACCCCAGUAGUCC